AGCUCAGUUCAGAGCAUUUUGAGAGGAGUGAUCAGAAAUAAUAAGUGGGAAAACAAACAAAAUGCAACAGACCUGAGGAGUUCACGUGCAUGUCUUUGGAACGAACAAAUACCUUUUCAAGAAACUAAGGGCAAGAUGUUCUUCCUUGAGCUUCCAAGAGCUUCUUUGCUUUCCCGUUCUGAUUCACAAGGAGGAGAUGAUCUCGACAGAAAAAAUAUGGUCUUCGGUAGAGUAUAUGGUGACAGCUGGGAAUCCUGCAUCUAAGAAAUGCUGCAAUCAGGAUUCAGCUUUUAUAGGCUCUCGGAAAAGGAGAGAUGCUCUGGUAUCCACCUUGGGCUGAGACUGAGAUUCCCAAAUUCUAACAUGUGUUGAAGCAAAGCUGUGUGUAGAUAAUUCCUGAGUAGCCAAGCAGAUUGUCCUGGCUGAUACUGAAAGCUGUUGGUACAGCAACUUCUACUACUGCUACCUACAGUGACGGCAGUGGGUAGUGAGCAAGAUGGAUUUGGGAACCACCAAGCUGGAUGUGUUUAUUCAACUGCUGACUGAGGUAAUGUGUUCUUACUUUAGUUGAAGAAGAACAAGAGAACACUAAUGAGCAUGGAGAAUAUACAGAAGUUAAUGAAAGCAACAUAAAUAGGUGGUGGAAAAAGAUAAGCCCUGUUAGCUGGGUGAAAAGGGAACUAGAGACCAUGGCCUGAGCAUACAAAAUGUAUUUGGUGUUUUUUUUCCCUGUUUUCCUGACAAAUACAGCAAGAACUAAAUGCUGAGGAGAAAAAGCGCCAUAGAAACAAAUAGCUAGGGACAUCUUUGCUUAAUAUGAACUUCCAGUGGAAACUGAAAAGUGGAGCAGCUAGCAUUAACCAUUUUUUAACACAGCUAUUCAAAUCUUGUUGAAUUACACAACUUGUAUUGAAAUAAAUAGGAACUGCUGGUCCUGAGUUUUAUUACAAAUUAGGCCACUUGAGAAAUAGUUGCAUAACUGGUCUGAAAUAAGUAAUUGCUGUAAGUCUGUAAGUUUAGAUGUUGCUGAAGUUUAAGCGGGUGGCUUAGUCUUCAGUACUUUUUUGCUUUAUUAUUAUUCAAGUAUGCAUCAAAUUUCUGUAAUCACUUUCUCAAAGAGCCUUAGAAUUGUCUACUGACACAAGUGAUCUGAAACAAUUUGAGCAAGUGGGAAGCACACCAUUAGCACAUCCCGUGGUCCGUAGCUUACAAAACAGUAGUUCAAACUUCAGGACAUCUAGUACCAAAACAAAAACAUCGUGAUCUAGCGGCUGAAUCAGUAUAAACUCAAGCUGUCAAUACAACAUUGUUCAAAUGGGUUGGUCAUUAAUUUGUGGGACAGGUAACUUCAAGCUGUCUGGCUUUCUGUGGUUCUGCUGUUGUGUGCCUGACUCGACCUUUCCUAGUUUGCCCAGAUUUCUUUUUAAUAGCUCAUUUUUGUCAUUCUCACUUUCUAUGCUCAGAUAUAUUGUUUAAGUUUUCAGAUUCCCUAUCCUCAUUCCUUUUUUCAUUGGAUACUCACAGAACAUUCACUCAACAGAUUUUAUUAUCUUUGUCACAGAUCCUGACCUAUCCAAAUGUUCAGAAACUUGUGAUCACCUCCUUUUUGUUGUUGUUUUUAAUCGUCUUUUUUUUCCUUUGGCCUCUGUAUGAGCUACAUAGCUGCAGUUGCCACAUCUUUAUGACGUGCUCUGUCUCUGUGGCUCUAAACAGAGGCUGUACCAUCUGCCUCCUUCUGGUCUGGCCUGAUACUUUCCUCUCUUUGGAACUGCCCAACUCAAUUUUGAAGAAGGAAAUGCAAAUGACUUGGACAUCAAUUCUGGUCAAAAACUGGUGGUAAACUAAAGCCAUGUGUGAAAAGUUGGCAUUUCUCUUUUCCCCAACUAAUUGUUAAUCAUGUGACAAAUUGGAGAUGGUGUAUCAGAGGGGAUAGGAUUUUAGCUCAGGAGAGUGAAGCUCUGUCUCUAGACAUUUCCCAUAACAGUGAGAUUUUCUGUCAGCUACAGCAGCCAUCACUUCUCUCUCCACAAAUUCAGUAUGCCCACGCAUGCCUUCUAUAGUAGCAACUCUGUCACCUUCUUGUCAUCCUAAGAAUGAGCAGACUUGACUCUAUCAGCAAGCAGCCUUGAUAGCCUAUCUGGAUACACUGUGCAUUUUUUCUGGCUGGAAGGCUAGCAAAUCACUUUUUAUGGGAACUUUGGAGUGGCAAGGAUAGUCUUUUGGGGCAUAUUUUCUUGCCCAAAGAGUAUUGGGUGAACUGCUAGGAACAAAAACUAUAUGCCUUAGCCAAAAGAAGAAAUUGCUCUUCAGAGGAUUGGAUACAUGGGGACAGGAAGAAAGAGAGAGAGAUGUGUUUAUCACAGAGAAAAGCUACCCAAUUGAGGAAAGUCUAGCAUGCUUCACUGUUUACCAUGAGCUCAGGGGACCAGAGAUCUUCUGAAGUGUGUAUCAUCUCCAGAAUUUCACUGGAUGCUUGCGUACUACUUGAACACUUCGUAUGUUCAGAAGAGAUCUCUGUCCUCUGUUCUGUUUCUUUCUAUUGUCAUUGCCCCCCAAGAAUAGCUUAAGACCAAAUUAAUGGUAAGGAGGCUAAAUGGACUUUGAUACUAAUGCAUUUCUAGUCACAGAUAAAUAUUAAAUGUUAAGAAGUCACAUGAGCUUGCUAUCCUGCAGCAGGGAAGAUGAUGUGGCCCAGAAGAAAGUCAGGUGGGUCAGUGCAGUCAUCCAAGCUGUGUGGUGGGGAAAUCCAGGCGUGAUGCCCUGGGAUCCCUACUUCUAACACUGAAGCACUUCUGCUACCUCACGUGGGCCUUCUGCUAGGUCCAAAAAUGCCAGACCUCAUCAGCAGUGCUCACAGCCUUCCCCUCCAGGAAGUUUUCCACACCAUGACAAAGGUGCAUUAGUUAAAAGGUCAGUUAUAGGGAAGUAACCAGAAGGUAAAUAAGUGUUUAAACAGUCCAAACUCUGUGCAGAUUUGGCCCCGAAGUGGCACAUUGGUCUUGGAAGAUGAAGAUGAAAAUGGCAACCUCAACUAAGUUUAUAUUGUUAGAUGAUCAAGCAAUAGGUAGAUCUUUCUUAACUGUCACAGAACUAUGACCUGAAAUUCAGUUAGAGCCAAGUAUGAGUAUGUUGAUUACUAUCAUAGGGCACUGCCACAAUCCUACUCCAACAGUUGAUCACUUAUUUAGCAAAUGUUAAUGAAUCACAAUGAUAUUUUAAAAUGCUGUGGAAUAUGGAAAUUUUAUUGCAAAUGUUAAUAUUUGAAAUUAUAAUAUUUACUAUUAUAACUAUAUACAAAGC
ensembl:lncRNA